UGAAGCAGAACAUGUGGCCGCCCUGCUUUUUUUAAAAAAUGCGGGGAGGAAAGUCCGAGCUCCACAGGGCAAGACGCUCCGUAACACGGAGUCUCCCUUAUUAAACAGGGGGAAGGAAAGUGCCGCAGAAAGGGAAACCACUUCUGACUUUGUCAGGAGAAAGGGUGAAAAGGUGUCCCAAUUAAACGGGAUUGCCGGUGCAAAUCGGUAAGGGUAAGAGCCCACCAGUGUUCCGGGUGACCGGAACAGCUUGGUAAACCCCGUCUGGAGCAAGGCCAAAUAGGUUCUGCCUUUAGAGGUGCCCCCUCAAAUCCCCGCUUCGGCGUGGAGGCAGAACGGGUUAGGCCGCAAGAGCCUGAUCAAAAGAUCAGGCAUUAGAUGAAUGACCACAGUCUCACUUAGGUGAGAACACAGAACUCGGCUUAUGGGCUGCUUCAGCCA
rnacentral:RNase_P_RNA from 2 species